rnacentral:rRNA from 1 species
UGGGGAAUCUUGCGCAAUGGGCGAAAGCCUGACGCAGCCAUGCCGCGUGGAUGAUGAAGGUCUUAGGAUUGUAAAAUCCUUUCACCGGUGAAGAUAAUGACUGUAGCCGGAGAAGAAGCCCCGGCUAACUUCGUGCCAGCAGCCGCGGUAAUACGAAGGGGGCUAGCGUUGCUCGGAAUUACUGGGCGUAAAGGGAGCGUAGGCGGACAUUUAAGUCAGGGGUGAAAUCCCGAGGCUCAACCUCGGAACUGCCUUUGAUACUGGGUGUCUUGAGUGUGAGAGAGGUGAGUGGAACUCCGAGUGUAGAGGUGAAAUUCGUAGAUAUUCGGAAGAACACCAGUGGCGAAGGCGACUCGCUGGCUCAUUACUGACGCUGAGGCUCGAAAGCGUGGGGAGCAAACAGGAUUAGAUACCCUGGUAGUCCACGCCGUAAACGAUGAUUGCUAGUUGUCGGGGAGCUUGCUCUUCGGUGACGCAGCUAACGCAUUAAGCAAUCCGCCUGGGGGAGUACGGUCGCAAGAUUAAAACUCAAAGGAAUUGACGGGGUCAUAGCUGUUUCCU